UACGGGGGGGGCAAGCGUUGUUCGGAAUUACUGGGCGUAAAGGGCUCGUAGGCGGCCAACUAAGUCAGACGUGAAAUCCCUCGGCUUAACCGGGGAACUGCGUCUGAUACUGGAUGGCUCGAGUUUGGGAGAGGGAUGCGGAAUUCCAGGUGUAGCGGUGAAAUGCGUAGAUAUCUGGAGGAACACCGGUGGCGAAGGCGGCAUCCUGGACCAACACUGACGCUGAGGAGCGAAAAGCCAGGGGAGCAAACGGGGU
rnacentral:rRNA from 1 species